GAACGCGGGCACUUGUGCCCGAGUGGCGAACGGGUGAGUAAUACAUAAGUAACCUGGCCUUUACAGGGGGAUAACUGCUGGAAACGGCAGCUAAGACCGCAUAGGUAGGGACACUGCAUGGUGACCGUAUUAAAAGUGCUGCAAGGCACUGGUAGAGGAUGGACUUAUGGCGCAUUAGCUGGUUGGUGAGGUAACGGCUCACCAAUGCGACGAUGCGUAGCCGACCUGAGAGGGUGACCGGCCACACUGGGACUGAGACACGGCCCAGACUCCUACGGGAGGCAGCAGUAGGGAAUUUUCGGCAAUGGGGGGAACCCUGACCGAGCAACGCCGCGUGAAGGAAGAAGGAAUUCGUUCUGUAAACUUCUGUUAUAAAGGAAGAAAGACGGAUGGAGGAAAUGACAUCCGAGUGACGGUACUUUAUGAGAAAGCCACGGCUAACUACGUGCCAGCAGCCGCGGUAAUACGUAGGUGGCAAGCGUUAUCCGGAAUUAUUGGGCGUAAAGAGGGAGCAGGCGGCAGCAAAGGUCUGUGGUGAAAGACUGAAGCUUAACUUCAGUAAGCCAUAGAAACCGGGCAGCUAGAGUGCAGGAGAGGAUCGUGGAAUUCCAUGUGUAGCGGUGAAAUGCGUAGAUAUAUGGAGGAACACCAGUGGCGAAGGCGACGAUCUGGCCUGCAACUGACGCUCAGUCCCGAAAGCGUGGGGAGCAAAUAGGAUUAGAUACCCUAGUAGUCCACGCCGUAAACGAUGAGUACUAAGUGUUGGAAGUCAAAUUUCAGUGCUGCAGUUAACGCAGUAAGUACUCCGCCUGAGUAGUACGUUCGCAAGAAUGAAACUCAAAGGAAUUGACGGGGGCCCGCACAAGCGGUGGAGCAUGUGGUUUAAUUCGAAGCAACGCGAAGAACCUUACCAGGUCUUGACAUACUCAUAAAGGAUCCAGAGAUGGAUAGAUAGUUAUAUGAGAUACAGGUGGUGCAUGGUUGUCGUCAGCUCGUGUCGUGAGAUGUUGGGUUAAGUCCCGCAACGAGCGCAACCCUUGUCGUUAGUUACCAUCAUUAAGUUGGGGACUCUAGCGAGACUGCCAGUGACAAGCUGGAGGAAGGCGGGGAUGACGUCAAAUCAUCAUGCCCCUUAUGACCUGGGCUACACACGUGCUACGAUGGAUGGUGCAGAGGGAAGCGAAGCCGCGAGGCGAAGCAAAACCCAUAAAACCAUUCUCAGUUCGGAUCGUAGUCUGCAACUCGACUACAUGAAGUUGGAAUCGCUAGUAAUCGCGAAUCAGCAUGUCGCGGUGAAUACGUUCUCGG
rnacentral:rRNA from 1 species